GACUAACGCUGGCGGCGUGCCUAAUACAUGCAAGUCGAGCGGGGUUGAAGCGAGAGGUAACUCGAACUUCUACCUAGCGGCGGACGGGUGAGUAACGCGUGGGCAACCUGCCUCAAGGUCUGGGAUAACAGCCCGAAAGGGCUGCUAAUACCGGGUAUGCUUGUGGCCUCGCAUGGGGCUAUGAGCAAAGGGGAAACCCGCCUUGAGAUGGGCCCCGUCCCAUCAGCUAGUUGGUGAGGUAACAGCUCACCAAGGCGACGACGGGUAGCCGGCCUGAGAGGGUGACCGGCCACACUGGGACUGAGACACGGCCCAGACUCCUACGGGGGCAGCAGUGGGGGAUCUUGCACAAUGGGCGAAAGCCUGAUGCAGCGACGCCGCGUGAGCGAAGAAGGCCUUCGGGUUGUAAGGCGUCUGUCUGGAGGGACGGAAGGAAGUGACGGUACCUCCGGAGGAAGCCACGGCUAACUAACGUGCCAGCAGCCGCGGAAACCAUACUCGUA
rnacentral:rRNA from 1 species